UUCAACGUUUUGACUAUUUGUCAUAUUUAAAAUUUUUUUAUUAAUAUUUUUAUUAUUACUAGAUAAUAAAAUAUGAAUAAUAUUUUAUAUGUGACUAAUAUUUUUAGAUUUUUGCACGAAUUUUUCAAAUAAGACGAUGGAUAAAACGUUGGACAUGGAAAAACA
rnacentral:pre_miRNA from 1 species